UACGUAGGGGGCAAGCGUUGUCCGGAUUUAUUGGGCGUAAAGAGCGUGUAGGCGGCCAUACAGGUCAGCUGUGAAAACUCGAGGCUCAACCUCGAGACGUCGGUUGAAACCGUAUGGCUAGAGUCCGGAAGAGGAGAGUGGAAUUCCCGGUGUAGCGGUGAAAUGCGCAGAUAUCGGGAAGAACACCCGUGGCGAAGGCGGCGCACUAGACAGCAACUGGACACUCAACUGCGAAAAGCGUGGGUAGCAAACGAGGA
rnacentral:rRNA from 1 species